GAAAUAGAACCGCGUGAACUUAAGGAAAUUGAAACAACCCCCCCUUCUUUCUUUCCCCAAUUCAUAACCCUAGCCCCCAUUGUCGCCGCCGUCCGAAGCUUGUUGGCGCCGCCGCCGUCCCAAGCUCUAAGGACAUCGUCUUUAUGUUCCUUGGCUUCUCCGUUCGUCGAAGGUUAGUGGCGUGGCGUCCGCUCUUGGUACUGCGCUCGUUUAAGAUCUCUCCUUACACCUUCUCCGUCGUCGCCAUCGGGUCUCCAUCGGUGUCUCAGUUCUCAUUGCUGCUUGAGGGAUUUACGUGCUGCAAUCAAGGCUCCCCGAAUCACUUCCACGAAUCUCAUUAGGUCUUAUUUUUCUAUUCUCCAUAAAAAAGUGGCCGCUUAAAUGCCUGGAUCUUCUCUCUUUUUGCUUCCCUGGAAUAUUGGAGGAGGAUAUGAUGUGAAGAAAAUGUUCAAUACAAAUAUAAGAUGGGAUGGGUCUUAUAAUGAUUUUGGUUAUCUAAAUGUAUUAUUUUGAUGUCUUCUUUACAUUUUGAUAAGAGAUUUUAUUCGAUAAUACA